GACGAACGCUGGCGGCGUGCUUAACACAUGCAAGUCAGGGGGCGGAGCAAUCCGUCACCGGCGAACGGGUGCGUAACACGUGAGCGACCUGCCCAUGGAUGGGGGAUAGCCGGCCCAACGGCCGGGUAAUACCGCAUACGACGCCGGCUUCAGCGCCGGACGUGAAAGCCCGCAAGGGCGUCCGUGGAGGGGCUCGCGGCCUAUCAGCUAGUUGGUGCGGUAACGGCGCACCAAGGCGAUGACGGGUAGCUGGUCUGAGAAGAUGGCCAGCCACAUUGGGACUGAGAGACGGCCCAGACUCCUACGGGAGGCAGCAGCAAGGAAUUUUCCCCAAUGGCCGAAAGGCUGAGGGAGCAACGUCGCGUGCAGGACGAC
rnacentral:rRNA from 1 species